UCGAGCCCCGGAAUUAUUAACUUCUGUUUUCUAAUCUAGUGAACCUGAGGUUAUAGAAUCCGACUAGGAAGGUCAAAGCUAUCAGUUUUAUGUCACGCGGUAGUUAUGAGGUGCUACACGCAUCGCUCCUGUUCUUUUGUCCCCUCACUGGGGAGCUGCUUGAUGACUGCAGCUGCAGCAACUUCCCCCACUCUGGGAAACCUGAACCUGAAGCCAGACACUGUAUGAAAAGUCAGUACCUCUGACUGACUGUGGAUUUCAACUCUCUAGUUCUCGAGGCCAUUCAAUAGUGGCAUCUAAUCAGAAUCCCUUUUGCUCAAUCUGUGUUUCCUUUGUGGGGAAAAGGCCUGGUGAUCUCUUGAGAAGAGUCCAGGGGCUUCUGGUGGUGAGCGCCGGCGAAACCUGUUCCAAGACUAAAUAUCGGAAGCAGUCAGCCUGGCCACUGAAGGCAGAACUGGUUCCCCACGCUCUGCCGCCAGCCCUCAGCUUCUGAAAUACUGUGUUCUUGGUUAGGUCUCCAUUUGAUAAAAGAGACUUGAUGAAAGGAUGCUUCCUGAAAAGGCUUUGUAAUAAUUAAUCAGUCAUCACCUUCUUUUGCCUCCCCAAGGUUUUGGCACUGUUGAUCAGGCCUUCCUGCAAAUUCUCACUCUCUCUCUCUCUCUCUCCCCCUUUUUGGCUCAGGGACAAUAGGCUGACUUCUACAAUAGCCACUCCUGUCCUUUGUUCACUUCUGUUUGACACUCUUCCUCCCCAGAUGUGGAGGGGAUUCUUCAAAUUCAGGGCUCUGUGAAAAUUACCAGCUGCUACUGAGGACAACAGGACUCACCUCCUGAAAUCAAAACUUCAUGCCAUGCUGCUAUCAAGUUAAAUCAGGCAGAAUCCAUACAACAAAAUGCAAAGGAUGGUAUAUUUGGAACUAUCUGAAACAAUGUGGGUCAAGCGCAGCUUUGAAUGAAGACACAAGAGCACCAUUUUUUCCCCAGUUAAGUUUAAAAAGAUUGAUUUCUCAGCUAUGUUCAACUCUGCUAGAUACUGCAGGGCAUAUAAAAGCCAGGCUUAGCGAGUGACGACAGAGGUCAACAAUUUUGAGCAUUUACCGUCUGCAGAGCACUGCGAAAGAGAUAAAGAAGCAAAACACAAAAAUAUACAAGAAAUAUUUAUAGUUAAAAUGAAGCUAUACAUGAUUGCAUAUUCAGUGAAUGGUACAAAGGAUCAGAGAUGUGGUUAUUCUGAGUGAGGAGAGAAUAUUGUAGGAUGGAAGAUGACCCAAGAAGGCACACCUGGAAUAAUCUUUCCAAAAUGCCCGUCUGAUGGUAUCAGCCUGUCCCACCCCAUUAAAAAUUCAUCCUGGGAAUCAGGGAUUUUUCCAGCUCUACUUCUGCAGCCUCAUCUCUUGGGCUCUCUGUCUAGAAUUUGAGGCUCCCACCAUACUAAAAAUUGACCUGUUUCUCAAACAUUCUAGUUUGUACACCUCAGAACUUUUACUUGGGCUUUCCUUCUGCCUGGGGUGUUUAAAAAAUUUCUCUUGUCUUGCUAAUUCUUACAAAUUCUGAGAUAUGCCCUGGGUUCCAUAUCUGGGUUAGGUGCUUUCUUGUCCUAUUAAUUUAACUGCAAUGACCGUAGCUUCUUCCUUGUGUUACUCCGCCACGAGGCUCUGGUCACUGAGAGGUGAGCUGCAUCACAGUCCAUCUGAGGACAGGGACUGAGGUCCGGCAGAGCUUUGAGGUCACCAUAGGGUUCUCACAGCCCAAAAGGAACAGGCAAGUGCUGGAACAAGGCUGGGAAUGACAAUCAUUUUCCCAGCACCCUCCUUAGCCCUGUGAUGGGAACCCUAAAGCCAUGACCUCUUCCUACCUUUCUGUGAACUCUGCGAAGUUAUUAUUUUAUCCCCAUCUUAGAGAAGAAGAAACUGAGGAUCAGAAGCUUUAACUUUCUAAUUUGAGGUGACGUAGCUGGUCAGUUGUGAAACUGGAAUUUAAAUCAGGUCUGCUAGGCCCUAUGGGUUUGUUGGGGAAAUGUUUAUUUAUAUAUUUAAAUUUUUUUCAUCAUAUUGAUAAUUUGAAAAUUUAAGUCAGUGUGAUACUAAGCCCUUGGCAUGGAUAUACACACAAACACCAGAGAGGAGGUGCCAUAAUUAGGCUUGUCUCCCAGAGAAGGAGACUGAGGCUCAGAAAAUUUGACCAGGCCAAAGCCACCCCAGUAGCAGAAGGAGGGUGCAUAGGGCGUGAACCCCGGGCUGCAGGCUCUAGAGUUGGGUUAAUCAUCCAGCCUCUCAGGUUCGCUGCCUGGAUUCCUGUCCUGCUUUUUACGAUUCAUACAACUCUGGGUAAGUGACUUCACCUCUCUGAUCCUCUUUGUCCUCAUUUGUGGUUUUGAGGACUCAAUAUAAAAUCCUUAGGGCAGAGUCUGAUGUAGAGUAAAUAAUAAAGGUUAGCAUUUAUACCCUUCUUAUUAGUUAUUAUUAUUAUUGCUAAAGGUCUCAUUUCAUCAAAGAUCAAAUAUUUUCUUCUCUCUUUGAUAUAGCACAAUAUUAUUUUGGCAUCUUUAUUAUUUAAGAAAUUUUUGAGUCAAAAUUUUAUGAAGAAUGUUUCAAGGAAUCAGAAUUUGCAACAAUCAUUACUCGAUUUUGUGAUGAAUUGUUUUUCAAAUGAAAUUUCAGAGGCCAUGAAUUUUGACAAUUGAGGUGGUGGGAGAGAAAUAUGCCUUUUUCAAUUAGGAAUGUAUUAACGGGUUUACACGAAGCCUUGGAGAAAAAUCUAGACAGCAGCUGCAGGGUAAGGAACCAAGUCAAGGCCCAUGUCUGGCUUCCUUCACAAUUGAAUUUUUGCAUACGUGUUGGUGGAACUAUUCAGCGGUCUUCAUCAUCUUGUCUGUAACAAUUUGAGCAUUGGCCUCCCCUAAUUCUUGAUUUGACUUAAUGAGACGGGUUUGGAAUUUUUCUGCUUGGUCUUGGAGCUGUGUGUACCACAUCAAUACAAACCAGCUUCUUUGACCAAACCCAACUCUGGGGAUCUCUGGGGAUGGAAUUGGUUUGCUGAGUCAAGAAUCCAGGUAUCUGGUUGCUCCAGUAUUUCCUUUAUGGGCUCAAGGUCUGGAGAGAGGCUACAACUUCUCUGGGAGAACCCCAGGAAAAGCUCCUCUGCUUCCACAGAGGAGAGCCAAUUCCUCCUCUGCCUGCCUUCCAGCCCAGAGUCAACUGCUGAGUGCCGGCCAGUGCUCAUCUCUAGGGCUGUGUUACAUCUGCCUCCAUAGAGAGAGCUACUGUUUGCAUCAGAGUAGAUGCUAAAAUCCUUUCCAAAAGAGCAACAUGAUAAUGAGCUCAGAUAUAAAUGAAGUGCAAUAUCCAACACAUGAUUUUAUGUCAGUGUUACUCAGUGAUGAGGCUAUAAAAAAAAAAUGAAUUCUGUUGUGGUGAUAAUGUCAAUACUUUACACUGAAGGUUCAAAAACCCACAGUUUUUGAAGUGUUUCAAGCCAUAGGGAAUAAAAAUGGAAGUUUCCAGUAGCUUGUAUCUGCAAAGAGAAAGUGGAAAUUGAAAUAAAGAGGGCAGGCAACUGGGACUCCUGAAGCAAGCAGGCUUAUGUUCCUGAUUUUCAGUGCCUUAUUCAAUUUUAAUCAGACAAAACAAGUUCUUCAAAUGUGAGUCAAUAGCAUUAGCUUCUUAAUUGCUUCUAAAUUAUUUUUCUUUUUUUCUCCCAGACACUCUUAUAUGAUGUCAUGUUGAACCAUGGUUUUGUUUUCUUAGAAAUAGAUUUAUGCAGACUGCUCACCACCAUGGUACAGACGUUGCUGUGAGUACAAACUGGACGUCUACAUGUACACACACACAAAUUGUCCUGUAGAAUUUCAUCUCCCGCUGGAUGAACAAGCACUGUGAUAUCUGACCAGAUGAAGAGAGACCAGACGAUUCACAUAUGAAUGAAGCAAGCUGUAGAUGGAAGAACAGAGGACAUGAUCACGGCUGGAAGUCACGCUGGGAUCUAUACCAUGUAAUAUUAGCAGCCACCUUCAGAUCGGGCACACCCCAGCUGUUCGCUCUACAGAGCUUGCCUCCUCCUUUUCCUUUCCUGUCCCCUCCAGCAACCCUUCACACUAGCUUUCCUCAUUUUCUUUAAAAGGCAGAAAUGAAGCUAAAACCUUUUGUGUAAAGGAAAAACACGAUAAAGCAGAAGGCCAAAACCUAAGCAGUUAUUAAAAAAAAAAAAAAAAAAAGAUUUCGCUUUAAUAAUUAGGAAUCCUUUCCCUCCAAACCGGUACCACUUUAAAACACUUACUCUGCAUUUCAAAGACAGCCAUUGUCUUCUGUGCCUUUGGGAGCAGUUGAUAUGACCCUCCUGUUCUAGGGGAAGAACAAUGACAUAAAAACUUUUGCAUUAUUUAAUCUCCACUCUCUUGUGCUUGAUUUUUGUGUUUUGUUUGAAUAAAUGUAUAUCUAGUUAUGCUGUCACAGGACCGUCAGGCUCUGCAAAAUUUACAGAAGUGUCUACUCUUAAAAAAAAAUAAAAAAAACAACCCCCCACUUCCGCUUCUUAAUAUAUAAUUGAUUUGUGACUAUGAGCAACAUUACUUUUUCCCGUGGUGUAAUGAGGUGAACAAUGUCCUCCAGAGAGAUACGUACGGGUCCUCAUCUGUGGCUUUGUGAAUAUGUAUCAUUACCGUAUUGGCAAGGGAUGGGAUUGUUUUGAGAGGAAGUGCUUGUCCUGGAUUGUGCCAGUGGGCUCUCAGCACCAUCAUAUGCGUCUUUAUAAGAAAGAGGCACAGGGGGGCACCAGGGUGGCUCAGUGGGCUAAAACCUCUGCCUUCAGCUCAGGUCAUGAUCUCAGGGUCCAGGGAUGGAGCCCCGCAUCGGGAUCUCUGCUCAGUGGGGAGCCUGCUUCCUCCUCUCUCUGCCUGUCUUUCUGCCUGCUUGUGUUCUCUGUCAAAUAAAUAAAUAAAUUCUUAGAAACAAAGAAAGAGAGAGAGAAAGAAAGAAAGAAAGAAGUAGGCACAGGGAUUUUUGAAGGGAAGGAAGAAAUGUGACCACAGAGGCAAAGAUUAGAGUGAUGUGGCAAUAAACCACCAAAAGCUGGACGCAAGGAAGAGAUUCUCCGCUAGGAUGUCCAGGAAGAGUACAAACCCGCUAACUCAUCAAAAUUUUGGAUUUCUGGUCUUCAGAGCUGUUAGGGAAUUAAUUUCUGUUGUUUUAAGACACUAGUGUAUCAUACUUUGUUAAAGCAGCCACAGGAAACUAAUAUGUUUGGAUUCCUGAAAAUACUGUUACGAGUUAGCUGAAGUUUUUGUCUUCGUCUGGAUUCUGUAGAAAAUGGUGGCUAAGGAUUCAAGUGUGGAGGCUUACCAUGUAAAGCACACAAACCGGGAAGAGAACAAAGAAAGUGAAGCAUGGAGGAAUGUGAAGCCACGUAAUGGGAUCUGUUACCAUACUGGCUGCUGCUGGUUAGUCACCGCUGAGAGAGAAUAUUUUGCUCAGUGGGUGAAUCAGCUCAUCCUUUGGACUUCUCUGAAAAGCUACAAGGAGGAACCUUGUAGUAGUUCACGGAAAGGUGAAAGGAAUGAACAUUUGUCUGCCAGGCUCUAUCUCCUCUCCUGUCUCCUAAGGUCAAGGCUCACUGAUAAUACUCAGCUCUGAGUUGGGUGAUCCAGCCCCUCUGUGGUUGCUCAGGGAACCAGUGUACGGUACACAGUGUGCUAUGUCACACACGUCCAGGAGUAUGUACAAGCUUGGCAUGUGGCACACAAAGGCCAUUCAGGCUGGGGCUCUAAAUUGGAGAAAUGGUGCCCAUGUGGGUGACAGAUGACUGUGGUGGCCUAGUUCUGAGAGACAGAGGAAGAAAUUUGAGAAGGACGAAAGGUUUGUGCCUGGCACUCUCUCUGACACCUGGGGCAAACUGCUCAGACUCAUGAUCAUUACGGAAAGUGAUAGACACACAGAUGUGAUAUAUAUGCCACUUAAGUGGAGGUCUGAGAAAGGUGUGUCUUAGGAUGCUUUCCAUAUGAUAAAGCUUUAAAUAAAAAUAAGAUCAUUAAUUGAUA